GAGUGGCGAACGGGUGAGUAACACGUAGAUGAUCUACCUUUUAGUUGGGGAUAGCCCAUGGAAACAUGGAGUAAUACCGAAUAAUCUCUAAACCUCAUGUGGUUUUGAGGAAAGAACCGUUUGGUUCGCUGAAAGAUGAGUCUGCGCACUAUUAGCUUGUUGGUGGGGUAAAGGCCUACCAAGGCAACGACGGGUAGCUGGUCUGAGAGGAUGAUCAGCCACACUGGGACUGAGACACGGCCCAGACUCC
rnacentral:rRNA from 1 species